rnacentral:rRNA from 1 species
CAGCAGCCGCGGUAAUACCGGCGGCCCGAGUGGCGGUCACUCUUAAUGGGCUUAAAGCGUCCGUAGCCGGGUUGGGAAGGCCUCCGGGAAAUCUGGCCGCUUAACGGUCAGAAUGCCGGAGGAUACUCCCAGCCUAGGGAGCGGGAGAGGCCGAGGGGAUUCCCGGAGUAGGGGGGAAAUCCUAUAAUCCCGGGAGGACCACCUGUGGCGAAGGCGCUCGGCUGGAACGCGUCCGACGGUGAGGGACGAAGGCCAGGGGAGCAAACCGGAUUAGAUACCCGGGUAGUCCUGGCUGUAAACGAUGCGGACUUUGUGUCGGACAAGCUAUGAGCUUGUCCGGUGCCGGAGGGAAACCGUUAAGUCCGCCGCCUGGGGAGUACGGCCGCAAGGCUGAAACUUAAAGGAAUUGGCGGG